rnacentral:rRNA from 1 species
GACGAACGCUGGCGGCGUGCCUAACACAUGCAAGUCAACUUGACUGAAGGAGCAAUCUGACAGUAGAGUGGCGCAAGGGUGCGUAACGCGUAAGUAACUUGCCCAAGGUAAGGAAUAACGUCGAGAAAUCGGCGCUAAUACCUCAUAAUGCAGCGGAUCCGCAUGGACAUGUUGUUAAAGGUUUACCGCCUUGGGAUAGGCUUGCGUCUGAUUAGUUAGUUGGUGUGGUAACGGCACACCAAGGCUACGAUCAGUAACUGGUCUGAGAGGAUGAUCAGUCACACUGGAACUGAGACACGGUCCAGACUCCUACGGGAGGCAGCAGUGAGGAAUAUUGGGCAAUGCUCGAAAGAGUGACCCAGCAACGCCGCGUGGAGGAUGAAGGUAUUCUAUAUCGUAAACUCCUGUGAGAGCAGACGAAAGACAGAUUAUUAAUCUGGAUGACUGUAUGCU